AGUGUUAAAACCGCUUCCUACAUAGACGCACGUGUCUUACAUUUCCCCGUGCGCCGGUAUUCGAAUGUAAACACGAGCUUUCCUAUUAAAAGUUCUACGAAAAAACUACACGCAACUUUUUUCAGUGAUUUUACGUGAAAUUAGAACGUUUCCAAAUAAAGUGGUGAGCUUUUAAAGUGACUUUUUAUACCGGAGUAUCAAAAACGUCAUCUUUGAAGUUGGUGAAAAUAGCAGUCGUUAAG
rnacentral:misc_RNA from 1 species